rnacentral:rRNA from 1 species
UACGGGGGGAGCAAGCGUUGUUCGGAUUUAUUGGGAGUAAAGGGGGCGUAGGCGGCUGGUGAAGUUAGAUGUGAAAGUCCUGGGCUUAACCUGGGGACUGCAUUUGAUACUGAUUGGCUUGAAUGCAGGAGAGGAUAGCGGAAUUCCCAGUGUAGAGGUGAAAUUCGUAGAUAUUGGGAAGAACACCGGUGGCGAAGGCGGCUAUCUGGACUGUGAUUGACGCUGAGGCGCGAAAGCGUGGGGAGCAAACAGG